AGGUUAAGGCCCUGUAUUCAAGAUAUAUAAAGAAUGGUAAAAUUCUUGGAAGCAUUUGGCUAUUUCUGGCGUAUCUGUUCUAGCUCCCAUGCUCUCCAUGUCCUGCUUAAUACCCUGGAGAUCGUUCCGGAUUUCUGCCAUGACAGUGCAGCAUUUCCUUGAUAUCUUUCUUCGAUGGAAGCUGUCUCAGAUUUCUGGUGGAAAUAGUCAAGAGUACCAAAUACCUUGGGGUACAUCUGGUGGAGAACCUCUCCUGGACCCUUAACACCAGCUCUAUAGUGAAGAAGGCACAGCAGUGUCUCUACUUUCUGAGAAAGCUGAAAAAAGCCCAUCUUCGACCAUCUAUCCUCACUAUCUUUAACAGAGGGUCUAUUGAAAGCAUUUUAUGCAGCUGCAUCACUACCUAGUAUGGAAACUGUUUUGUAUCGGAUCGCAAGAUCCUGCAGCAGAUGGUGAGGACAGUGGAAAAGAUCAUUGGGGUCUUGCUUCCCACCAUUAUGGUUAUUUACCACAAACGCUGUUUGCAGAAGGCUACCAGCAUUGUUGGGAAUGGCACCCACCCUGUAUAUGAUCUCUCUACCCUCCCGCCAUCCGUAAAAACACACUGCAGUAUUUGGGCGCGGACUUCCAAAAUUUGCAAUACCUUUUUUUCCACAAGAAAUCGGGCAUCUCAACUUCCAAGGACUGAACUGAAUAUAUUUAUAAGGAACUGUAUAAACCUCUGAAAUAUUUUACUCAAAUGUAUGUCUACCUUGCCAAGCAGGAGCGUGUGUUAGGGUUGUUCACCUAAAAAACUCACACUUGAUGUACCUCAUAUAGUCUUAUGUGUACCACCAUGGGUUCUGGAGGAACGUUAUUUCGUUUCUACUAUGCACUGUAUUACUGUAUAUGGCUGAGAUGACAAUUUAAAUCCGCUCGAACUCCACUUGAACUUUAGGAAUAAUAAUGAUAUAGAGUUCCUCCUGGAUUGGAGGAAAUGUGUAAGCCUUCCUUAAAUAUCCAAUAGCUAUCUAUAUAACAGUAAUAAUAAUAAUAUAGUUAAUAAAAUAUAGUAUCUAUCUUCCUUAUUCAAUUAUGUGACUUUUGGUUCUUGGAGCAUGCCUAGUCCAUUGUGAAUAUUAGGGAAGUGCUACUAUUUAAACAAACAUUGCAUCAAACAUAUAAAAGAAUAUAUUUCUUGUACAUUCCUCCAUUCUUUUUACAAUCAAUUAAAUUCUCUGCAAUUACACACACUAAAAUUCCAGGUAUUUUCCAAGUAACCCUUUUUAUUUAUUGUAAUUAAAACAUCAAUAAAAUGCCACGUCUGUCUUAUUUACUCUUGAUGUGUUUGAUCAAGCUGAUUCAUCUCUAAUUACAUACAUUUUCUUGGGAAGAGUGUCUCCUGAGCAACACAAAGACAGUCUUCAUUUACUGUGUCCAUAAGUACUAAAUGCAAGAAAUGCAAUGUACUGAAUGAACA